rnacentral:rRNA from 1 species
GAUGAACGCUGGCGGCGUGCCUAAUACAUGCAAGUCGAGCGAACAGACGAGGAGCUUGCUCCUCUGACGUUAGCGGCGGACGGGUGAGUAACACGUGGAUAACCUACCUAUAAGACUGGGAUAACUUCGGGAAACCGGCGCUAAUACCGGAUAAUAUAUUGAACCGUAUGGUUCAAUAGUGAAUGACGGUUUUGCUGUCACUUAUAGAUGGAUCCGCGCCGCAUUAGAUAGUUGGUAAGGUAACGGCUUACCAAGGCAACGAUGCGUAGCCGACCUGAGAGGGUGAUCGGCCACACUGGAACUGAGACACGGUCCAGACUCCUACGGGAGGCAGCAGUAGGGAAUCUUCCGCAGUGGGCGAAAGCUUGACGGAGCGACGCCGCGUGAGUGAUGAAGGUCUUCGGAUCGUAAAACUCUGUUAUUAGGGAAGAACAAAUGUGUAAGUAACUAUGCACGUCUUGACGGUACCUAAUCAGAAAGCCACGGCUAACUACGUG